rnacentral:rRNA from 1 species
UACGAAGGGUGCAAGCGUUAAUCGGAAUUACUGGGCGUAAAGGGUGCGUAGGCGGUUGUUUAAGUCUGUCGUGAAAUCCCCGGGCUCAACCUGGGAAUGGCGAUGGAUACUGGCGAGCUAGAGUGUGUCAGAGGAUGGUGGAAUUCCCGGUGUAGCGGUGAAAUGCGCAGAUAUCGGGAGGAACACCAGUGGCGAAGGCGGCACUCUGGGCCAGUACUGACACUGAGGAGCGAAAGCGUGGGGAGCGAACAGG